rnacentral:rRNA from 1 species
GACGAACGCUGGCGGCGUGCUUAACACAUGCAAGUCGAACGGAAAGGCCCUGCUUUUGUGGGGUGCUCGAGUGGCGAACGGGUGAGUAACACGUGAGUAACCUGCCCUUGACUUUGGGAUAACUUCAGGAAACUGGGGCUAAUACCGGAUAUGAGCUCCUGCUGCAUGGUGGGGGUUGGAAAGUUUCGGCGGUUGGGGAUGGACUCGCGGCUUAUCCGCUUGUUGGUGGGGUAGUUGCUUGCCAAGGCUUUGACGGGUAGCCGGCCUGAGAGGGUUACCGGCCACAUUGGGACUGAGAGACGGACCAGACUCCUACGGGAGGCAGCAGUGGGGAAUAUUGCACAAUGGACGGAAGCCUGAUGCAGCAACGCCGCGUGCGGGAUGACGGCCUUCGGGUUGUAAACCGCUUUCGCAUGUGACGAAGCGUGAGUGACGGUAAUGGGUAAAGAAGCACCGGCUAACUACGUG